ACCCAACCUUCUCUAGAUUUCCCAGCAUGUGUACUGCCGUUGUAAGCACACCUUUAAAAGAAUAAGUGUGCUACUAUGACUAACCAGUUUAACCCAUAUACAUCAGGUCAAAGUGCAGCCAAUAAGAAGGUGAUGAUGGGUUACAACCCUAAAAAAGACUAUCAACUAAGAAAUAAAAAAUCUUACGAAAGUGGACUUGGCCGUAAUUAAUUUACAAGUUAAAAAAAUGAAUAAAAAUCUAAGACAUGUACACAUCGCCCGUCACUCUAUCCUAAAGGUUAGAUAAGUCGUAACAAAGUAGGUGUAAUGGAAAUUGCACCUGUCGAAGUAUAGCAUAUAUAAUGCUUUUUACUUACACUAAAAAUAAAGUUAAGACUUGCUUCGCCUAAACAAUAAAAUCUUCUAAAUUAUAGAAUAAUAAAAACAACUAAUAAAUUAUAAGUAAUAAAGUACAGAAAUGGAAAUAACAAUAAAUAAAAGUAUUUAUUAAUAAUUGUACCUUGUGCAUUAUGGUUUUACAAGAAAUUAGUUAAAAAUAUAAAUCCCGAAUUCUAAAUGAGAUGUUAAACUGCUGUUAUGAACUCAUUAAUAGCUGUUGAAAAAGCUUUAAAAGACAGUUUAACAGAGGCUACAUACCAUUCGCAUAAGAAUAUAGCUGGUUUUCAACAAACAUUAUACAUUAAAGCAUAUAAUUACAUUAUAGUGUUAUAUUAUUGAGGAUAAGCCCAAUAAAAAAAGCAAUAACUAAAAUAAUCUAUUACAUCUUAUAGGCCUAAAAUCAGCCAAAUAAAAUACUUUACCGUAAUAAAUACAGGUAUAAAAUAUUUAUAUAAAUGCUAAAUAAAGUUGAAAUGAUGAAUAAACCACAAAACCAUCUAUAAUAUGUAAAAAUAAGUAUUAUGAAUUUUUAAUAAUAAGAAUCUAGAAAUAAACACCGCAAAACAAAAUAAUAAUUAAUUAAGGAACUCGGCAAACCACUAUUUCGACUGUUUAACAAAAACAUUGUCUCAUGAAUUAUAUAUGAG
rnacentral:rRNA from 1 species